GGAGCGCUGUGACGUGUGGGGGACGGAUCUCAGCGGGGACUCCCGGGACACAGGAAACGAUGAAACCCGUCUCCUCCGUCCCUGUUGGGUUAACAGGCUGGAGUAACCUAACGGUGUCAACAACCAGUCUGUUAACCUGGAGGGUUCAAGGGGUGACGCGUGUCAUCGCUGCAGUGCCGAGAGGACUCAAAGUGCUGAAACAAGACUACGAAAAGGACACCGCUGACUCACAAGAGAGGUAAGGGAAACACAAGCACGACGAAUGAAACGAAGCACGGAGGAUAUUGUGUGUCUGGUUCGGUGUCAGCUCGACUGGACACACACAAACACACAGAGAGGCACACACUCGGGUCCAGAUGCCCAGAUUUGUCUGGCCAUCGUAAAUCAGUCCAAUAAAGAGAUCUAAAUUAGGCCAUCAUCAAUACAGAUGGGCAUUUUUUUUUUCUCUUCUUUUUUUUCCCCCCAUGUGUGUGUGUGUGUGUGUGUGUGUGUGUGUGUGUGUGUGUGAUUUCCUCCUGGCUAGGAUCUCGAUAUGAUACCUAGUUGCCAGGAGGGAAAGAGAGAAGGAGGAAUGUGGAAAGAGAAAGAAAGAUAAAGAGGAAGAAAGACACUUGGUUCCCAGUAAACAUAAUUCGCAUGAUUGCUCCGGUUUGGUGGGUAAAUAUUGGAUGAAGGGAGGCUCAAUUACUCUCUCUUCACACACACACACGCACACACACACACACACAGAUGCACACAAACGCACACAGAAGGACAAGAGCCUGUAAAUCUCUAAAUCGCUGCCCAACAAAGAGGCCUACUGGGACGCUCUCCCUCCUGUGUUUUUUCCUUCCCUCUUUCCCUUUUCUUUCAUCCAUCUCUGCGUCUCUCGUCGGAUUCCCCCCGAUCUCCUUUCGGAGCUGAAAUCUUGCGUGAAAUCACAAGAGUGUUCAUCAGACAUCACAAGCGAAUUCAUUUUAAGAUUUUACCAGCAGUAGGUGUUUUAUAAAGCAGCACAAUUAAAUAUAUA